rnacentral:rRNA from 1 species
UAAAAGAGUAUUAUUUUUAGUACCCCCUGCUCAAUGAUUUUAAAUAGCCGCAGUUUCCUGUGCUAAGGUAGCAUAAUCAUUUGCCUAAUAAUUAUAGGAUAGAAUGAAAGGUGUCACAUGUUAUCUUCUUUAUUAGGCAGGUUACUUUAAAUUAAUUUUUAAGUAAAAACUCUUAAAUAGUUAGGGGGACGACAAGACCCUGACGAACUUUACACUAUGUUUAGCUGGGGCGGCAGGCAAAUUACACCUUUCUUCCCUUUCCAAAAACCAACCUCCAAAUUGAUAAUCAAGUUACCGCAGGGAUAACAGCAUAAUUUUUUCCUGAAGAUCUUAUACAAGAAAAUAUUUGUGACCUCGAUGUUGAAUUAAAAGUCUUUUAGAGGCAGCACUCUAACAAGAGAGUCUGUUCGACUCUUAAAAAUUU